GGAAAGGUAAGCUAAGUUAAGCUUUUGGGCUCAUGCCCCGACUAUAGAUUUUAUCUCCUCUCCA
rnacentral:tRNA from 1 species